rnacentral:rRNA from 1 species
AGAGUUUGAUCCUGGCUCAGAAUGAACGCUGGCGGUAUGGAUUAGGCAUGCAAGUCGAGCGGUAAGGCCCCCUUCGGGGGGUACACGAGCGGCGGAAGGGUGAGUAACGCGUGAAUCAUCUGCCUCAAGGUUCGGGAUAGCCCCGGGAAACCGGGAUUAAUACCGGAUGUGGCGUAACUGCUAAAGGCUUCGGUCGCCUUGAGAUGAGUUCGCGUCCUAUCAGCUUGUUGGUGAGGUAAUGGCUCACCAAGGCUUCGACAGGUAGCUGGUCUGAGAGGAUGGUCAGCCACACUGGGACUGAGACACUGCCCAGACUCCUACGGGAGGCUGCAGUCGAGAAUCUUCCGCAAUGCGCGAAAGCGUGACGGAGCGAUACCGCGUGCGGGAUGAAGGCCUUCGGGUCGUAAACCGCUGUCACUCGGGAUGAUAAUGACAGUACCGAGAGAGGAAGCCACGGCUAACUACGUGCCAGCAGCCGCGGUAAGACGUAGGUGGCAAGCGUUAUUCGGAUUUAUUGGGCGUAAAGGGUCCGCAGGGGGUUUGUUAAGUCUGGUGUGAAAGCCCACAGCUCAACUGUGGAACGGCAUUGGAUACUGGCAAACUAGAGGACUGGAGAGGAGAGUGGAAUUCCCGGUGUAGCGGUGGAAUGCGUAGAUAUCGGGAGGAACGCCGAAAGCGAAGGCAGCUCUCUGGACAGUACCUGACCCUGAAGGACGAAAGCCGGGGGAGCGAACAGGAUUAGAUACCCUGGUAGUCCCGGCCGUAAACGUUGUAGACUCGGUGUGGGGGGAUUGGUCCCCUCCGUGCCUAAGCUAACGCGUUAAGUCUACCGCCUGGGGAGUACGGCGGCAACGCUAAAACUCAAAGGAAUUGACGGGGGCCCGCACAAGCGGUGGAGCAUGUGGCUCAAUUCGAGGCUACGCGAAGAACCUUACCUGGGUUUGACAUCUGGUUGACCGCCGGUGAAAGCCGGUUUCUCUUUUGAGCAAUUAGACAGAUGCUGCAUGGCUGUCGUCAGCCCGUGUCGUGAGAUGUUCGGUUAAGUCCGGCAACGAGCGCAACCCGUGUCGCCAGUUACCAGCGGAUAAUGCCGGGAACUCUGGCGAGACUGCCCGUGCUAAGCGGGAGGAAGGCGCGGAUGACGUCAAGUCCGUAUGGCUCUUACACCCAGGGCUGCACACGUGCUACAAUGACCGGUACAGUGGGAAGCGACAUCGCGAGAUGUAGCCAAUCCCCAAAACCGGCCCCAGUUCGGAUUGGAGUCUGCAACUCGACUCCAUGAAGUCGGAAUCGCUAGUAAAGGCGUAUCAUCAACGGCGCCUUGAAUACGUUCCCGGGCCUUGUACACACCGCCCGUCACAUCAUGGAAGCCGGCUGUUCCCGAAGUCGCUGACCCAACCCGCAAGGGAGGGAGGCGCCGAAGGAGUGUCCGGUAACUGGGAUGAAGUCGAAACAAGGUA